CAGCCUGGUUGUAGCGCGAUGGAUCACCUGUUCCCAUACCGAACACAGAAGUUAAGCAUCGUAGUGCCGACAGUAUCCGCAAGGAGAGGAUAGGGAGCUGGGCUGG
rnacentral:rRNA from 1 species